UUUUGGCUGACGAGACACAACAUGUCGAAACACUGAUGUCCCAGAA
rnacentral:hammerhead_ribozyme from 1 species